UACGGAGGGAGCUAGCGUUGUUCGGAAUUACUGGGCGUAAAGCGCACGCAGGCGGUCUGUCAAGUCGGAUGUGAAAUCCCCGGGCUCAACCUGGGAACUGCAUUCGAAACUGGCAGGCUAGAGUCUUGUAGAGGGGGGUAGAAUUCCAGGUGUAGCGGUGAAAUGCGUAGAGAUCUGGAGGAAUACCGGUGGCGAAGGCGGCCCCCUGGACAAAGACUGACGCUCAGGUGCGAAAGCGUGGGGAGCAAACAGG
rnacentral:rRNA from 1 species